GGUUCUUUACCACUGAGCCAUCAGGGAAGCCCAGGAGUUCAUUAUUCUUCAUCACUACCUACUUACUACAAGAGGAGAAGGGGAUUGAACGUGGGCCCACAGCAGUGAAAGCACUGGACUGCCUGAGAAUUCCUGGGACUUUUUAAAAAACCAAAUUUGAUAAUGUUUGUUAUUUAAUUGGAAUGUUAAGCCUUUAAUAGUUGAUGCAAUUAUUAAUAUGAUUUGGUAUAUAUAUAUACCAUUUUAUUUUGUUUUCUAUAUGUCCCAUCUGUCCUUUAUUUUUUUUGCUUGAAAAACAUCAAGAUUCCUUGUAAUAAAAGGUUUGCAGUUGACAAAUCUUCUUAGCUUUAGUUUGUCUGAAAAGGUUUUUAUUUUGAAAGGUAUUUUCACUAGAUUCAGAAUUUCAGGCUGAUAGAUAUUUUCUUCUAGCUAUUCAAAGAUGAUAUUCCACUGUUUUUUAAUUUGCAAAGUUUUGGAUGGUAAAUCUAUAAUAAAUAUUACCUUUGUUUCUCUGAAAGUAUAUUUUUUCUCCAAAUAUUUAAAAUUUCUGUAUCCCUAUUUUUAGCAAUUUGAUGAUAUGCAUAAAGGUGUGUGUGUAUGUAUG